UAAUACUGUUAGGAAUAUAUAAUGCCAAUCUAUGUGAUUUUAUCUAACAACCCUCAAUUGGCAGGAUGUAAGCUCAAAGGAAAUUAGUAGGGUCUUGACCAACAUGCGAGAAGGGAUGGAGAGAGGGACAUAGAAAUUAAAGACAUUGAUAACAAAAUGAUUUUAAUGAUUGUCUCUGGAACUUAAGCAGGAAAAGAAGAAAGCUGAAAACACACUGAGGAUUAUGGGAGAGGGGCAAGUGCAUGAAGCUUCUCAAUGACAUACAGACACUCUAAAAGCUCAAGAGAUCAAUUAUUCAACUUCAAGAACUGAAAUUUGAACACAGAUUUUGAGCUUCCAAAUCAGCUGCUAAUAUGGGAAAGAUUGAAAUCAGCAAGUUUCUGGCUGUAAGCUAAAAGAGGCUCUUGAAUCAUAUUUCCGCCUGCUUAGCAAAUUUCUCUUGCGACAAUUGGAUGUUAUUUGGGGUUCCAUACUAGCAGGAAGAAGUACAAGCAAAGCUAAGUCAUUUUGAGAAUAAAUAUUAUCUCUCUAUAUAUUUGUAAAUGUUAUUUUCUUUUUUUUUGAGGUUUAUGAUUGAUCCUUGGCAUGUGUCCCCUUGUGUAUUGCUCUACUAAAAAUAGCCUAAAAAAGAAUUUUCCCCUCGAUGUGGAGCUUCUCUUUAGUUACAAUUCUACUUUCUCCUUCACUUGAGUAUCAGUCUUCAGAGAACUACCAUAACAAAGGAGUGGAUACAGAUAUACGCAAAAAAGUCUAUGAGAAAAUUAGUACAUUAAAUUUGUGAAAGCUCAUUUAAAGUAAUUUUCUACUAACAAUUUUAAUCAAAUGUAUUAAUCAUAUUUCUAUGCUUAGUGAUGUUAAAUAAAAAUUUAAAAGGUGGCAAUCAAUAAACAGAGAUAAAAGCUUCUCAAGAAUAAAUGAAAGGAAGUAAUAAAAAGACUCACUAAGCUGAAUUGCCUCCUAUCAACAGCAGCUGAUAAAAUAUUAAAAGAUUUGCCUUGUGUAAUGUCUCUGGAGAGCUGUCUUACUGAUGUACGAGGCCAUGAUUGACAACUUUGAGACUUUGCUGGAAGCGACAAAAGUAUAUCUAUAAUAUUAUGCUGAAUUGCAUAGGUCUUUCUUCUUAAAUGAGGCUAGAAAUAACAUACCACCAAGUGUUUGGCUUUUAGGAAAUUGAGCAUUUUCUUUAGUUCUAGCUGCAGUUUAAUUUCCUCAGAAUUAGACAUUAUGCGGUAUCUGGAACGUUAAAAAAAAAAAAAAGCAAAAACAGAGUAUUGUACCUAAUGAUAUGUCAAAUAAUUUUGGAGGAAUUAAGAAAUCACUGGAAGAAAUUACAUGGGUGGGUAAUGGUUUUUAUGUCACAAUAAAUAAUUAGUAAUAUUUACUGACACAUUUCAUGUGCCUGGUACUGAGCUAAAUGAUUUAUGUGCAUUGUUUGUAUUAAGCCCCCAAAAUUCUGUGGUAUAUGUAAUGAUAUUUCCAUUUUUCUUGAGAUAAGGAACUGAAACUCAGAAAAGUUAAGGAACUUGUCCAAGAUUAUAGUAAGUGGCUUAGUUCAAUUUUGAAUCUAGAUCAAUCUGACUCCAACCAGCAUGAUGAACUGAAACUGACUAUGAGGCUGGUGACACUCUAGGCAUUUAUUCACAAGAGGUAUUGUGAUGACAUGUGAGAGAAUGUUGGAUGAAGGAAGCACAUACUAGAAAGAUAGGAAAGACCAGAAAACACAGGGAAGUGCUAUUUAUUUGCUUUCCUAGUUCCAGUAACUUGGUCUAAUGGGGAGGAUGAAAGUAGACAGAUACCUGAAAACACUUUGAGAUUUAUGUAUAAGCAGCAUGACUUCAGUGACCAAGCCACACAGAAUCUGGGAGUGGAACAUUUUCUUUGGUCAUUAUGCCACUGCGGCAUGGUUUGUUAGUGCAGUGAGAACUAAAGUAUAGUGUGGUAACCUGAAACUGUUAUGGUUAUGGGUACACCUGGGUGGGUAGCUGUUCACCCCUUCACAGAGGGUAGGAGUGGUGAUAGCAAAGUAGCUCUUCGCAGUAACUUUCAGAACAUAGACAUUAUGUAAGAUCUGAAGUUUGAAAACCUGAAACAAAAGCAGAGCAUUAUAUCCAAGCACAUUGGAGACAACUGUGGAGGAAUCAAGGAACAUCUAGCAGAGAUUUAAUGUUUUAGGGACUGUUUUUUAUUUCAGAAGGUAAUAAGUGUAAAACAGUCAAACUCUAGGCAUAGGGAUGAACAUUAUUUUGUGUCAUAAAUUUGUCUAAUAUAGUUGCUGCUUCAGCAUCCAGUUUUGGCUUGUCAUGGUCAAGGUGACCAGUCAUGCCCUGUCACCUUUGGUUUUAUUAAAAUUUUCCCUCCUUUAGUGGUUAUUUGUGAUAUAGCCCUGUUGUUCCCCAUCUCACUGACCCCAAAUUCAACACAUGCCACAGCUGCUGGCCACAGUGAAAACUAAUGAUCAACACCAGUCAUGUGAAUAAGACGUCCCUUCAUGUGUUUUCUUUAAGCUAGCCUAUCCACAGCCCCAUGGGAAAGCCUAAAGAAUAGUACCUGUGGAUUAUAAUAAAGACGUCUUACUGGUUCUUGCUCUCUAUCCCUCUCUCUACACACUGGUCAAGUACACUCUUGUCUCCAGACUUCCCAUUGGCCUCCUGUCAACACCUGUACCCACUCUGGACCUGGGAAUAAUAAACUUCUUUUUUUUUUUAAUGUAUUUUGGUUUCACUUCCUCAUUGUAUCUCACCUGACACACACAUACUAUAGUGUUCUCAAUAUUAUUUAAUGUGUUUAACAAAUCAUAACAGAUAAUAUAUGAUUGACACUGUGCCUCCUGAUUUGAUGCAAUAUGGACUAUUCCACAUCACUGAUGAAGUAGUCAUACAAAAAAUAUUUAUCUUGAAUCAAAGCAAGAUUUUAUACCAAAAUUCUAGUUCAAGUUACCUGAUAGAGGAACAUAUUAAACAAUACUAUGUGUAAACAAUACUAUGUGUAAACAAUCAGAAAAAUAAUAGAUUGUAGCCUUCAAAAAACGAUGGCCUUACAAAACAAAUAAACAAAAAGUUUGUGUGGGUGUGUACAUGCAAGGGCUAAUCUCAAAUGCAGAAAGACCAGAAUACAAUAACAAAUAUAAUUCUUGAAAGUGGAUUUCAUCUUGGUUUACCAAAAAUAGCUAUGAGGGAAAUUUGGGUAAGAAUUAGAGAAUUCUGAAUAUAGAAUGAAUUAAAACAUAUUAUGAAUUAAGUUAAUAUUUUUGAUGUUUUCUUUUGAUAUGUUCUUUUAGAAUAUGUAAUAUCCCUAUUUAUUGGAGAUGUGUGCUAAAUUAUUUACAAAUAUUUGGGUAUCUGAAAUUUACUUUCAAAUGCACCAAAAAUAAUAGCUAUACAAAAAGAAAUACAUUAAAUUUACUCUAUAGUAGUAGUUAUUCUUUCUGAGAGGUUUACACAGUAUUUUCCUGUUCUUUUGUAUGUAUGUAUUUUUAAAAGAACGUAGGCCUGGCGCAGUGGCUCACGCCUAUAAUCCCAGCACUUUGGGAGGCCGAGGUGGGCGGAUCACGUGGUCAGGAGAUCGAGACCAUCCUGGCUAACACGGUAAAACCCCGUCUCUACUAAAAACACAAAAACAAAAUUAGCCAGGCGUGGUGGCGGGCGCCUGUAGUCCCAGCUAAUCAGGAGGCUGAGGCAGGAGAAUGGCGUGAACCCGGGAGGCGAAGCUUGCAGUGAGCCGAGAUCAUGCCACUGCACUCCAGCCUGGGCGACAGAGCGAGACUCCGUCUCAAAAAAAACAAAAACGAAAACAAAAACAACAUAAAUAAAUUGAUAAUAUAUCUAUUUUGAUACAGUCAUGGUUAACAUAAAUAAUCCUGGUUAUAUCCAUAUAAAACCAUGAAUAUACAGUAAUAAAUAUUAUAAUUACAAGUAAAUCACCAUAAAUAAAUUCUGUUUUCAAUGUUUCUACU
rnacentral:lncRNA from 10 species